rnacentral:rRNA from 1 species
GACGAACGCUGGCGGCGUGCUUAACACAUGCAAGUCGAACGGAAAGGCCCUGCUUUUGUGGGGUGCUCGAGUGGCGAACGGGUGAGUAACACGUGAGUAACCUGCCCUUGACUUUGGGAUAACUUCAGGAAACUGGGGCUAAUACCGGAUAGGAGCUCCUGAUGCAUGGUGGGGGUUGGAAAGUUUCGGCGGUUGGGGAUGGACUCGCGGCUUAUCAGCUUGUUGGUGGGGUAGUGGCUUACCAAGGCUUUGACGGGUAGCCGGCCUGAGAGGGUGACCGGCGACAUGGGGACUGAGAUACGGCCCAGACGCCUACGUGAGGCAGCAGUGGGGAAUAUUGCACAAUGGGCGGAAGCCUGAUGCGGCAACGCCGCGUGCGGGAUGACGGCCUUCGGGUUGUAAACCGCUUUCGCCUGUGACGAAGCGUGAGUGACGGUAAUGAGUAAAGAAGCACCGGCUAACUACGUG